UACGGAGGGAGCGAGCGUUGUUCGGAAUCACUGGGCGUAAAGGGCGCGUAGGCGGUCGGGUAAGUCGGGUGUGAAACUCCGGGGCUCAACCCCGUGAACUGCACUCGAUACUGCUCGACUAGAGAGAGGUAGGGGCGAGUGGAAUUCCCGGUGUAGCGGUGGAAUGCGUAGAUAUCGGGAGGAACACCAGUGGCGAAGGCGGCCUCCUGGGCUGUUGCUGACACUGAGACCCGAAAGCGUGGGGAGCGAACAGG
rnacentral:rRNA from 1 species